GCCUUCGUGGUAUAGUGGUCAUCACGCUCGACGCAUAAUCGAAAGGUCCGUGGUUCGAAUCCCGGCGACGACA
rfam:Stegodyphus mimosarum contig40027, whole genome shotgun sequence.